UGGGGAAUAUUGCACAAUGGGCGCAAGCCUGAUGCAGCCAUGCCGCGUGUAUGAAGAAGGCCUUCGGGUUGUAAAGUACUUUCAGCGGGGAGGAAGGCGAUAAGGUUAAUAACCUUGUCGAUUGACGUUACCCGCAGAAGAAGCACCGGCUAACUCCGUGCCCGCAGCCGCGGUAAUACGGAGGGUGCAAGCGUUAAACGGAAUUCCUGGGCGUAAAGCGCACGCAGGCGGUCUGUCAAGUCGGAUGUGAAAUCCCCGGGCUCAACCUGGGAACUGCAUUCGAAACUGGCAGGCUAGAGUCUUGUAGAGGGGGGUAGAAUUCCAGGUGUAGCGGUGAAAUGCGUAGAGAUCUGGAGGAAUACCGGUGGCGAAGGCGGCCCCCUGGACAAAGACUGACGCUCAGGUGCGAAAGCGUGGGGAGCAAACA
rnacentral:rRNA from 1 species